AAUAAAUUAUGGGUCUUCUGCCACGCUUGGACGAAUUAAAUAGCAUAUGGGGUAUGCUUUGGUACGUAUUUUUAAUUUUGAUCAUAUUUUGCGCACUGAGAGCGUCACACUGGAGAGACGUGCCUAGAGUUAUUAACCCAAAAUAUGAGAAUAUUGAAAUCUUAAGCAAAACUCGUAAAAUGUAAAGUGCUAGUGCAAAUAAUUUAAAAUAUUUUUUUCGCGAAUUACCUAAAGAGUGUUUAGAUGUACGUACAUACAUACAUAUUUAAAAAUGGACAACGACAUGCUAUUAAUUUCACUGGAAUAUGCAGAAUUUUCCAAGAUAAGAGACACAUUAUUAAAAAGGGAAGUAAAUGGGUAUACCAUUUACAUCAUUAUUAAAUCAUUUAAAAAUGUGGUCUACUGCACAACCUACGAAAUAUGCUGCAAUAACAAACAACAUCAAAGAACAUCAAACAACAUCAACAUAAUACUAAAAACACCUUUAAUUUAGCUCUUAAAACCUCAGCACAUUCGAGGACAUUCAAAUAUGCAUUAAAAAUUUAUAAAGGCAUUAUUUUGUAUCAUCCAAGAUUGAACUAAUAUUUACACAACACCUUUAAAGAACAUUUUAAAGAGUUUCCUGAUUUUGUCACCCACUUCAGAAAUAUAAAGAAAACAAAACAACAUUAAUAAAACAAGUAAAAAAAUAGCACCUUCUCAACGGAACAAAACAAACAACAUUUGCACUCUUAAAAGCUUAAACAAUAACCAGGACAUCAACAACAAAACAUAAAAAGUGCUGGUAAUAAAAAAUCACACUCGUUAUGCAAAUAGACUCAAUUCAAAUAUGCAUAUACAUGCAUAGUUCAACAUUUUACAAACAUACAUAGAUAUAUAUGUAUUUCAUUCAUCUAAAAUUGCAGUUACUUAUAAAAUCGAAACAAAUCCAACAAAGCUAAGAAUAUGAGUUGUGUAACAAAAGAUUCAAAAAGGAUAACAAAAGGACUAAGAAAAGAAAUCCUUUUAACAAAAAACAUACAUUCACACACAAAGCCAAGAAGGGAGAAAAAUAACAUUAGAAAAGGUGCCAUAAAGUCAAACAAGUUGUAAAGGAAUAUUUUUUCUUGUAUUCAACUUCUGCAACCCCUUUCAAACAAACAUCAUUGUCAUCGUUGUCAGCAUCACCAUCAUCAUCAUCAGUGGCAGCAGCAACAUCAUCAUUCGUGCUUCCUUUACUUUACAGAAAACAAAUGCUCGAAAUAAUACGAGGGAAAGUAAUGACGGACAUGAAGGUGACGCUUCUACAUUGCAUGAAACAUGAAGCUGACAAAACAGUUGUGGCUAAAAGUGAAUCCAGAGAAUUUGGCUAACACAUACAGUACACAAAUAGAGUAUAUCGACAGAAAGUUGUAGAUUACAAAUGGCUGAUAAUAAUAAUCUUCCUACAUGGUGUUAAAGCUCUGCAUAGACAUAACACAGUGAUUUUGAAAAAAAAUCCCUGAUGAUUAUGUUAAAUUGGAGUUGCAUUUAACUCGUAAUCUAGGUGUUAUUAUUAACGAAUAACAAAAUCCACUGAUACAAGUCAUUUACAGCUCCUAUGCAGUCAGAGUGACCAUGCCAAAGAUACGCCUAAUAUCAGAAAACAUGGGCAGAAUAUUCUAUAUCUAUAAUAUCAAUAGACUAAAGAGAAUAUUCACAAAUUGCAGCCAUUCUCAUGAAACAACUAUAUGUUUUGAACUGCCAUAUAAUUCCGUCCAUUCACAUAAGCCAAAUAUUCUCAACUCUCUAGAAUCCGAAUUUAAACCAUCAAAAAUCCAUAGCAUUGGAUUUUACUAAUUUAAGCAUAUUUGAAAUAAUUUAAGAGCCAAACUAAUUCGCUUAUUUUAAUCUUAAUUGUAAUUUUUUAAAAUAUUCUACUAACAUAAACUUUUUUUAAAAUUUUUUAAAAUAUUCUACUAACAUAAACUUAAGAAACAUUAAUUUAUGUAA